rnacentral:tRNA from 1 species
UGCGCGGGUGGCCGAUGGCGAUGCGGUCGCCGUCGUGCAGGGCGCGGCCCUCGAAGCCACCGAACCCGCCGUUCAGAUCGGUGCUGCGCGA